rnacentral:rRNA from 1 species
GACGAACGCUGGCGGCGUGCCUAAUACAUGCAAGUCGAACGCUGAAGAGAGGAGCUUGCUCUUCUUGGAUGAGUUGCGAACGGGUGAGUAACGCGUAGGUAACCUGCCUGGUAGCGGGGGAUAACUAUUGGAAACGAUAGCUAAUACCGCAUAAAAUGGAUUAUCGCAUGAUAAUCCAUUGAAAGGUGCAAAUGCAUCACUACCAGAUGGACCUGCGUUGUAUUAGCUAGUUGGUGGGGUAACGGCUCACCAAGGCGACGAUACAUAGCCGACCUGAGAGGGUGAUCGGCCACACUGGGACUGAGACACGGCCCAGACGCCUACGGGAGGCAGCAGUAGGGAAUCUUCGGCAAUGGACGGAAGUCUGACCGAGCAACGCCGCGGGAGUGAAGAAGGUUGUCGGAUCGUAAAGCUCUGUUGUAAGAGAAGAACGAGUGUGAGAGUGGAAAGUUCACACUGUGACGGUAGCUGAACAGAAAGGGACGGCUAACUACGUG